AUUGAACGCUGGCGGCAGGCCUAACACAUGCAAGUCGAGCGGAUGAAGGGAGCUUGCUCCUGGAUUCAGCGGCGGACGGGUGAGUAAUGCCUAGGAAUCUGCCUGGUAGUGGGGAUAACGUCCGGAAACGGGCGCUAAUACCGCAUACGUCCUGAGGGAGAAAGUGGGGGAUCUUCGGACCUCACGCUAUCAGAUGAGCCUAGGUCGGAUUAGCUAGUUGGUGGGGUAAAGGCCUACCAAGGCGACGAUCCGUAACUGGUCUGGGAGGAUGAUCAGUCACACUGGAACUGAGACACGGUCCAGACUCCUACGGGAGGCAGCAGUGGGGAAUAUUGGACAAUGGGCGAAAGCCUGAUCCAGCCAUGCCGCGUGUGUGAAGAAGGUCUUCGGAUUGUAAAGCACUUUAAGUUGGGAGGAAGGGCAGUAAGUUAAUACCUUGCUGUUUUGACGUUACCAACAGAAUAAGCACCGGCUAACUUCGUG
rnacentral:rRNA from 1 species